CCGUGGGGACUUGGUCCGGGGAAAUGUAGUGGAUGUGGGUGUCGACGCCGCCUGCAGUGAGGAUCUUGCCUUCCCCGGCGAUCAUCUCAGUACUGGCCCCGAUCACGAUGUCCACGCCGUCGGCGAUCUGGGGUUGCCGGCCUUGCCGAUCUUGAAGAUGUGGCCGUCUUUGAGCGCCACAUCGGCCUUGUAUAUUCCGGUGUAGUCGAGGACCACGACGUUCGAAAUGACGGUGUCCGGGACGUCCUCAUCCCGGGUCACUUGGCCGUUCUGCCCCAUGCCGUCGCGG
rnacentral:sRNA from 1 species